GUCUACAGCCAUACCACCCUGAACGCGCCCGAUCUCGUCUGAUCUUGGAAGCUAAGCAGGGUCGGGCCUGGAUAGUACUUGGAUGGGAGACCAAAGAGUUUGUGUGCUAGAGGCA
ensembl:rRNA 5S_rRNA 5S ribosomal RNA